CAUUUCAGGCUCAGCAUCGUAUGAGAUUCUAAAUCGCUGACCUGGUCCGCGGCUCAAUCUACGAAAAUCUGAAUGAUGCCCCGAACGUUCACGACUACGAACAUAUUACAGGAAUGACCAAGGAUCUGUUCUUUUUAACCCACAACAAGCACGAGAAAUCUGAGGGUGACACACUGAGCAAAUCGAAUGAUUUUGAAGCCCAUUACAUUGCUGGUCUGGCUGGAUACUUAUUAAAACAGGGCUACAAAGCGUCGUCUAUAACCGUAUUGACAACGUACACUGGACAAAUGUUUUUGUUGAAGUCACAGUUCAACAUGUCUCAGAGUCUUAAGCCGAUUCACAUUACGUGCGUCGAUAAUUUUCAAGGCAUGUUUUAACAUCGAAGAAUUCUUAUGAUGAAAAAUCGCAACAGAAAGUAAUCGACUACACCAAUGAUCUGGAAAAGAUUUUACAAACUGGAUUGGGAAUAUCCGACGUUGAACGUAUGGAUAUCAUAAAGGCUUUGAAUAUGAAACAAGGUCAUUGGUUCAAGUGUCCAAAUGGUCACUUGUAUCUCAUUGGGGAAUGUGGCGGAGGAAUGGAAACAGCGAAAUGUAACGAGUGUGGUCAGUUAAUUAAUGAUUGGUGGCGCGAAUC